rnacentral:rRNA from 1 species
AGCGAACGCUGGGGGCAGGCCUAACACAUGCAAGUCGAGCGCCGUAGCAAUACGGAGCGGCAGACGGGAGAGUAACACGUGGGAACGUACCCUUUGGUUCGGAACAACCCGGGGAAACUUGGGCUAAUACCGGAUAAGCCCUCACGGGGAAAGAUUCAUCGCCGAAGGAUCGGCCCGCGUCUGAUUAGCUAGUUGGUGGGGUAAUGGCCCACCAAGGCGACGAUCAGUAGCUGGUCUGAGAGGAUGAUCAGCCUCACUGGGACUGAGACACGGCCCAGACUCCUACGGGAGGCAGCAGUGGGGAAUAUUGGACAAUGGGCGCAAGCCUGAUCCAGCCAUGCCGCGUGGGUGAUGAAGGCCCUAGGGUUGUAAAGCCCUUUCGGCGGGGAAGAUAAUGACGGUACCCGCAGAAGAAGCCCCGGCUAACUUCGUGCCAGCAGCCGCCGUAACAC